rnacentral:rRNA from 1 species
UGGGGAAUAUUGGACAAUGGGCGAAAGCCUGAUCCAGCCAUGCCGCGUGUGUGAAGAAGGUCUUCGGAUUGUAAAGCACUUUAAGUUGGGAGGAAGGGCAUUAACCUAAUACGUUAGUGUUUUGACGUUACCGACAGAAUAAGCACCGGCUUACUCUGUGCCAGCAGCCGCGGUAAUACAGAGGGUGCAAGCGUUAAUCGGAAUUACUGGGCGUAAAGCGCGCGUAGGUGGUUUGUUAAGUUGGAUGUGAAAUCCCCGGGCUCAACCUGGGAACUGCAUUCAAAACUGACUGACUAGAGUAUGGUAGAGGGUGGUGGAAUUUCCUGUGUAGCGGUGAAAUGCGUAGAUAUAGGAAGGAACACCAGUGGCGAAGGCGACCACCUGGACUAAUACUGACACUGAGGUGCGAAAGCGUGGGGAGCAAACA